AUCAAAGGCGGCUUAGAGGGGAAAUUUUCACUUUCAGUAGAAUACUUCAUCAAAAAGUGAAAUCUCUUUCUCAUUGACUCAGUCAUCAGAAAAAAAAAAGUGAAACCUUCAUCAAACUUCCAUUGUAAAACCUUCAUCAGCCGCUUACCGUGCCGCUCCACGUCUGCAGCACUGCACCAGUAAAUUAAGAUUCAGGUUCUACACAAGGAUUUCCAAAGGAUGUUCAGGAGGCUGAGUCUCAGAACCUGGUUUGUGCCAAGAAUUUGGUGAUAGACAAGAGCAUCAAAACAGCAUACAUUGAAGCAAUCAGAUCUGCUUAACAUUUCAUUUAUAUAGAAAACCAGUAUUUCCUUGGAUCAUAUGCUUGGCCAAAUUACAAAAAUGCCGGUGCUGAUCAUUUGAUACCAAUGGAGUUGGCCUUGAAGAUUGUUAGCAAAAUCCGACCCAAAUUGCUGUCUAAGUUGUCAUCCCUAAGUGAAUUGUAGAUCAAUAUGGUAUUGGUAUAUCUAAGCAUUAUUUUUUAAGAAUCGACAUUAACUAGAAAGUUGUUUUGAUAUUAAACUCGGGUAUUUAUUUGUAUAGAAAAAAUUUUGUAUGGAUGAUUCAAUUUAAUUGUGGUUGCAUGUUUUAAAUUAUAUAUAUGAAGUAUAUUUUGAUGGCUUUCGUCGUA